UGAGACAUGAGGGUUGAGGGUGCUAAUGAGGAUGAGGAGGCCCAGGAGCAGAGAUGGCAGAUGAAAGGCACCUGGAGACUCUGUUGUUUGGUCCUCCAUUUGAUCAGCAGGUUUUUGUAGAGCAGGC